rnacentral:lncRNA from 1 species
CUUGCUUACUGAAAACUUGAGGUUCUUCCACGGAUAGGAAUAUAUCUUGAUUCUUAACUACUAGAUCAACCACUGAAUAUCACACAAACAAACAAGAAGAACAAACACCAGUCAAUAACAUAUAACAUUCACCAUACGUAAAGCUAAAAGAAAGGCUAACGAAAAGAGCAUUCGUUUUUUUCAAAAACGUCGCAAGUAACGGUUAUAAUAAGAGGGUAUUCUUUUCAAAAAUGUGUGAUCUAUACUUUAUAAAACAAGACAUGAGCUUAAAAUAUCUUAAUUAAAAUAUACAAAUAUUUGGUUCAUCAAUUUAAUCUUCUAUAAAACGUCAUACGUGGUAUAUCUAAGAUUAAAGGUUUAUAAGACGAUAAAAUACGUUAUAACAAUAUUAAACCUUUUUAACCUUUUAGAAAAGAUAUAAAUUAUAUAUCUAAGGUUAAUGGGCUACGAAACAUGUUAUUAAUUUUAGAAGCAUUAUGGAACAUCUUAUAAAUCAUUGUUAAACAUUCACUUAUGAUAAACUAAGAUAUAAGUCUAAAUAUGUUUUAUGUGAAAAGAUCAUUAUUAUUAAACACCUAUUUUAUGAAAGUUAUGAUAUAUGCCUUAAAUGAACUUUUAUGUAAAAGACAACGAACAAACAACUAUAUUUUAUUUUCAUUAGAAAACACAUAGUCUAUAUUAUUAUAUUUGAAGUUCAUAUAUAAAGUAACAUUUUAAGUUAUAGAAGAACUUAAACUCUUAUUACUUUAUUUUAUCUUUUAGGAAAAACUAAGUGAUUCGUAUAUAAUGUGGACUAAAUUCUAUGAAAUCAUUAAUCAUGCCGUAAAUCUAAUUAAGAACAAAUUGACUAUAGGUUUGCUUAAUACAUUAUGACAAAGGAUAAUUAAUCUAUUAAUUAUCUUUAAUUCUAUUGUAGAAACAAAUGACCUAAUUCAUUAGAAAGGAAAUUAUGUAUAAACUAUCAUUUUAGUUUAUAAAAACAAUGACCCUUGUUAUCUUUUAAUUAAGAAAAUAUAAAUAAUCUAUUAAUUGGACAUAUAUUUAUCUUCUAUUUUUAUUAAGAAACAUAUAUCUACAUAUUCUUUUAAGUUUCUAUUUAAUACUUAAACAUCUAUAACGAACCUUAUUAAAUCAAAAACAUGGUAUCUAUUAAAAAUGUCAUUUUAAAGUUAGAAACAGAUUAUCUAAUUCUUUAGUAAGGAACCUAUGUUUACCAAUAUAACUAUCAAUUUCUUUAUUAGAAAAGUAUUAGCGUCUAAUUAGGUUAUUUUAACAUUAUUAUAAAAUUCUAUCCUUUCGGUUUUCUACUUUCUUUUCUAAAUAGAGUUUAUACGUAUAGCUAAAAAUUGUUUAUUUAAUUCUUCUAACAUUAAUAUACUAAAAAUUAAUUGUAAAUUACUAAAUGGGACUUUUAAUAACCUAUUCAUGGUUAUUAUGACAUAAAUAAGCAUUUUACUAAUUCUAAUUAAUUUAGUGCUAUACUUAUGAACACAUACAGUUUCACUAAAAAUCUAUAGUUCAUCAUGAGCAAAGAUAACCGUAGAAUUAUUUAUCUAGUGCUUUUGUUAUAAAUAUGUGAUCUACCUAUCCCUAAAUCCUUCACCCUAGAAAUCUAUAUUUAAAUUAAUUCUCAACAGACAUAACCAAAUUAAGAUACACACAUGCGAAAGAUAGCUGGCACUAAUUAAAAUAGAUUAUCACAUACACAUGAAAUUAAUCGUUCAGUAUGAUUUCAAACUAAAAAAAAUUAUAUAACGAUACAGAAAUUAGAUCGUGAUAGCACAUAAAAUCAUAUGGGCUUAUUUUCACUUUCUUUUGAGCUAGAAAAAUUUGUCUAAAUAAUUUUUACACAGUAUCAGGGGCUAGAAUAAAUCGUGUUCAUCUUCUACCUUGUUGUACUUGCGCAGAGAGCGGAUGGGGGCACAGCUGGCGACAUCGAGGCGAGCAGAGAGGCUGACGGCGUUCGUACGGGGGCAGGGGUCGGCGAGAGUGCCUGCUGCGCGCGCAAGUUUCGGUGGGGUUCCACAACGGUGACG